UACGAAGGGUGCAAGCGUUACUCGGAAUUACUGGGCGUAAAGCGUGCGUAGGUGGUGAGUUAAGUCUGUCGUGAAAGCCCCGGGCUCAACCUGGGAAUGGCGAUGGAUACUGGCUCGCUAGAGUGCGGUAGAGGAGAGUGGAAUUCCCGGUAUAGCAGUGAAAUGCGCAGAUAUCAGGAGGAACACCUGAGGCGAAGGCGGGCUACUGGGCUGAUACUGACGCUGAGGCGCGAAAGCUAGGGGAGCAAACGGG
rnacentral:rRNA from 1 species